AUGGAAAGAAAAAUUAAUAGAAAACCAUCAACAUUCUACCCAAAGGGAAUGUCAAAAAGGAUGCAAGAUCUCCCUCUUGCGCCGCUUAACACUCAUCCUUCGUCGUCUUCUUUCUUCCGCCGAGACUGUUUCAUCGCCUCAAUGCCGCUCAAGACCAAAGUUGAGCUCACACAUGAAGAUACGAGUAUCUUUCCGAUCUCAAACACGAUUGUGACGUGCCUUUAG